GAUAGAUUUAACUUUUUAGGCUGUGAUCUUUUUUUUUUCCCAAUUAUCUUUGCAGCUCACCUGAAAUUCAGCUUUCAAGUUAUAUUCUAUUCAUUGGUUUCACAAAGUAGCUAUAGGUAUUAUUUCUUAGUUUUGUCUUUUAUCUUUACUAUUGCCUUCUUAACACGGAUGGUUAUGCAUCCAAGUUAUACAUGGUACUGGGAGAUCCUGUUUGAAUUGUGCUUGGAAUAGAUGUCUUUGUCUUUACUUUUCCAUUGCAGUAGUUGUGACUUUGUAUUUAGAGUAUGCAUAGAGUGGUGUAGUUGCAUUUACAAGUGUGGUUAACACUUAUUGCUAAAAUGCCUUGUAGGUGUCUGAGUUUUGCAGCGGAACCAAAAGUUUUUUUGCUGUAAUUUGCUUCAGUCCAAUAUUGAGUUUUUGGUUGAGCUUACCAUGUCUGGUGUAUCAAAUUCGAAGAAGUCCUUGCUCUACAAAUUACAUUUGUGCAGUGCAAGAAAUUCUGAUACACAAUGAGGAAAAAGUGAUUGCCAAAAAAAUAGAGGAGUUCACAAAGAGAACUACACGCAGUUGGUUUCUUCAGGUUCAGAUAUGGAAAAUCUUUUGCAAUGUGUCUUGCCUACGGUUUUUCAUAUAAAUACUCCGAGAAGAUUAUUCUCAUUGCUUAAAGGGAUAAUAGGGUUGUUCUAGAUCUUUUCUCUCUGCUUGAUCGUCUUUAGCUCCAGAAGCAAGGAAAUUUGCAUAAUCUAUCUCCAAACUAUCUGAUGCAGCCAAGAGAAGAUCAUCACCGAGAAACAUUGCGGGCAAUUUUGCUUCCUUGGGUUUCGUCCUUCUUCAUCUCAGGGGUAUGUUCAAUUAUUGACUCACAAAGACGAUCCAUAUGAACAUUAAAAGUAGAAGUGUGAAGAUGCUCAUGGGUUAUUUGCAUUAAUAUCAUCAAGAAAUUUUGUCAGAUCUCGUUGCUUUUGGUUUCUCCUGAGGUAUUUGCUUUUAGCCUUUCACGGGAACGAGAGGAGAGUCUGAAUGAAGCUGGAGCUCUCUGAUGCUAUUAGUCAUUGAAAGUCUAGAAUCAUUUUGCUUGUGGCCAAUUAGAAAUACUUUUUUCUUUUCUUUGUCAAUUUGUUCAAUUGGCACUGGUA